rnacentral:rRNA from 1 species
UACAGAGGUCUCAAGCGUUGUUCGGAUUCAUUGGGCGUAAAGGGUGCGUAGGCGGCGCGGUAAGUCGGGUGUGAAAUCUCGGAGCUUAACUCCGAAACUGCAUUCGAUACUGCCGUGCUUGAGGACUGGAGAGGAGACUGGAAUUUACGGUGUAGCAGUGAAAUGCGUAGAUAUCGUGAGGAAGACCAGUGGCGAAGGCGGAUCUCUGGACAGUUACUGACGCUGAGGCGCGAAGGCCAGGGGAGCAAACGGG